rnacentral:rRNA from 1 species
GGUUGAUCCUGCCAGUAGUCAUAUGCUUGUCCCAAAGAUUAAGCCAUGCAUGUCCAAGUAUAAGCCUUUAUACGGUGAAACUGCGAAUGGCUCAUUAUAUCAGUUAUAAUUUACAUGAUGAGACUUUACUACUUGGAUAACCGUGGUAAUUCUAUGGCUAAUACAUGCGCGCCCGCGGGCCGGCAUUUAUUAGAUCACGCAGCGCGGGGCAACCCGGACUGGCGAGCCAUGAUAACUGAGCGGAUCGCAGGGCCUCGGCCGGCGACGCAUCAUUCAAAUAUCUGCCCUAUCAA